AUUGAACGCUGGCGGCAGGCCUAACACAUGCAAGUCGAGCGGUAGAGAGGUGCUUGCAUCUCUUGAGAGCGGCGGACGGGUGAGUAAUGCCUAGGAAUCUGCCUAGUGGUGGGGAUAACGUUCGGAACGGACGCUAAUACCGCAUACGUCCUACGGAGAAAGCGGGGGGAGUCUUCGGACCUCGCGCCAUUAGAUGAGCCUAGGUCGGAUUAGCUAGUUGGUGAGGUAAUGGCUCACCAAGGCGACGAUCCGUAACUGGUCUGAGAGGAUGAUCAGUCACACUGGAACUGAGACACGGUCCAGACUCCUACGGGAGGCAGCAGUGGGGAAUAUUGGACAAUGGCGAAAGACCU
rnacentral:rRNA from 1 species